rnacentral:lncRNA from 1 species
CUAAUAGUCAUGUUUGCAUGUGCCUGCACAUAGCCAUAGAGACAGCAUAGAGUAUAACAUACUGCAGAAGUAAGGGGGUCCUGGAACUCCCACCAUGGUUCCAGGUCGAUUCCAAAUGAAACAUCCUUUAACAACAACUACCACUCCCAGCAGGAAUGCUGGGACAGGAGAUCCAUCAGCAACCCACAGAACCAAGGGAACCCCUCGCUUUCAUAAGCUUUUAAAAGGAAAGGGCCUUUGACUCAGUCGGAGAACAGAUCUGACGUUGCUACACUAUACUCGUGGACAGUGGACAUUCGCUUUGGUUCAUCUGCAACACAGAGCGUGUAAUGAAAGUGGUCAGCGAGGGCUUCAAGCAUUAACGUCAACCUGCUAUGCUGAGAUCGAGUCUGUAGGUGGCAGCACAAACUCGGGUAUGGAGGAAAUGGCACCAAGUUUAGUUUUAGUGGCCUCAAGAAGACCUGGAUGCCGUAAAAAGACAGUAUUUUACUUUCUUCACUGCACCAUUUGGAGCCUUUUAAGAUCACAAAUAGUAACUUGAAACUAUAUUUGUGUCUCUAUAUUAUUCUUUCUUUAAAGAUUCAGACCUCACUACUUGCAAAACCACAGCUUGCCUAGAGAGG